UACAGAGGUCUCAAGCGUUGUUCGGAUUUAUUGGGCGUAAAGGGCGCGUAGGCGGCGGGGUAAGUCGGGUGUGAAAUCUCAGGGCUCAACCCUGAAACUGCACUUGAUACUGCUCUGCUUGAGGACUGGAGAGGAGACUGGAAUUCACGGUGUAGCAGUGAAAUGCGUAGAUAUCGGGAGGAACACCUAUGGCGAAGGCAGCUCGCUGGGACGUUACUGACGCUGAGACGCGAAAGCGUGGGGAGCAAACAGG
rnacentral:rRNA from 1 species